GCUGGGCAUGGUAGCACAUGCCUGUAAUCCCAGCAACUUGGGAGGCUAAGUUAGGAGGAUUACAAGUUUGAGGCCAGCCUCAGAAACUUAGUGAGACUGUAAGCAACCUAGUGAGAGCCUGUCUUGA
rnacentral:sRNA from 1 species